AUUCGUGUUCAUGGACACGAUUUCCCCCUUUUUUUCGUGCUAGUCAGAACGACUUUCUAUCUAAUGUAUUUCAAUAGGAAGUAUUUUUCGUGCCUGCACCACGUUUUUUUGUCCUAUUAUUUUUUCGUGUUUUUCAGCACGAAUUUAAUCUAAUGUAUUGCAAUAGUAUAUACCCGGGAGCUGUAUUGUUUUACUUUAUUUGUCAUUAAUUUAUUACACUUUAAGCGCUAACGUUACUUUACUCAACAUUUAAUCAGGAGAUAAUUAUCCUUUUUUGUUUGUUUAAUAUUCACGAUGAUCGCCAUUGUAAACCAUCGUCAGCAGUACAUAAUUGUUAAUUUACGAGACUGCAGAGUUUUGCUACUGCAAUCGUUUCCAAAUGUUGCCGUUUUUUCUAAGAAAUAUUGAUUUUUCGAUCGGUUUCGUGUGUCAAAUACAAGAGUAAAUACAGUACCCAUGAGCCUUAUCGACAUCUACUAUGGUGAAGGCACCAGCUAAAACUACAUGUGGGCCCGCUGCAGAUCACAAUAUUUUCUCAACACAUGAACACUAACGUGUGCUUGAUAGUUCAACAAUACGAUGUUAUGGCCAUCAAUUUUCAUUGUUUCUACUUUGAUUGUAAAAAAAAAAGUCCGUUUCGGACGCCUGCAUUUCCCAGAAUCCUCUCUGCCUCCGUUGCUAUGGAAUCUGAGCCAGUCCUCUUUGCUAUUGGGUGAUUUCUUCUUCGGCACUCGUAACUUACAGGGAUUCUCUCAUUACGCGUAAAUCACUGUCCAGCUGUGUGUUUGUCCUUCUGUCUUUGUCUGCUUUGCAAUGACCAGAUAAACCCCCCGCUACCAAGAGGGGCUCAUGGCUCUUGAGCUGAACCAUGACCACAUUCUAGCUGAAGAAAAGAGAGCAGCUGUGGAGACGAAACGUUUAUGCCCUAGAAGAGACCCUUCACAGACCUCUAAAAGGAUCUUUGUUGGCUGGGGCAAGCCGAGGGGGAGGCAAGGAGGGUUUUUAUCAAGCCUCAGCUACAGGUCACUUUUACAGGUUGAGUGCUUCCUGUCAUCCAUUGUGGAGUUUCCACUUAACUGUACCCUCAGCAAAACUAAAUCCUCAUGAGGAAUUUGGUGCAGAGAGUUGUUCUGUGGGGACCGUGAUGUAUUACGUCACAAAAAACAGCCACUCCACAAUAGGGAAUGUGUAAUUAAUAGGUUUUUUGAAGCCAUCCUUCCAACCAAAUGCAUCAUUAAAGGGGAAGAUGGAUAUUGCACACAACACAAGUCGGCAAGAUGACAGCCCGCUGUUGUAAACGCACAAACAUAUGUUCAUCAUUCACCAGUUCUCAAUUCCCUGGACUUCAACCUUGCUACACACAUGGGCGUUUUGACUUGCAUCAGCCACUGUAUGCCUGUUUUGCAAACAGCAAAGGACCCCAGACCUGAAAGACCUUCUGAGGAGUGGAUAUUGGCCAGCUUCAAUAAACAACACCACACUUUACACACUGGACCUCCUGAUCUCCUUUCAAGAACUCAAGGUCAUCUCUCCAAGAUUCUCCAGACAAGCCUUCGCAAAGCUGCUGGAGCAUUGCACGAAGUGUUGAAGAAGAUCUGGAUAUAUCAACGGCGAUGCACUGCAACGCAGCUUCUUGGAGUUUUCAUACUCUUCAUUUGAAGCAGACCAGCUCUGCUGUGGUGCUCCUUUCACCUGCCCAGCCUGAACGCUAGAAUUGUUGGCUGCUUCAGCAGAUCGAAACAGAAAGCUAUAUCGCUUUUGCCCAAACAGAAGACUGUGGCUUGCAAAUAUUGGCCAUUCUUGAAGAAAGUUGCUAGUGUCCUUCCGGAUCUUUAGGAGCUGACCUCAAUGAAAACUUUCCUUAAUGUUAUGUAUGCUUGAGCCAUGCUUCAAAGUGUGAGAUUAAAUGAAGUGGUAGGAACCAGGAAGGAACAGGGACAACCACCGGUGAGUGGAGCAAGUGAACAGCUACCUUUCACGUUGUGCCUGUACAACCAAAUAUAUGUCCAAAGCAGCACGGGUGGACAUGCUUACAUUGCAUGCAAUAGGCUGGAACCAUAAAAAAACUUGUCUGAGACUCCAGCACGAGACUGCAAGGCUAGCAGAACUAAAAACAAAGCUACAUCGCACAGAUAAAGGGGCGUCACAAUGGCUUUCUGAUGUGAAAGAAUGGGCAGCUGAUGAGACAUCAGAAACAUCUCAUGCCAGUCAAGACACCACACACAGAGAACUUCAGCAGUCAAUUGAGGGGCUUUAUCUUAGUGUGAUGCUGCGCAAGCAAACUCUCUACUGUCAAAAUGACAGCAGCAAGCUUCGCCACCGCCUUCGAAGAAAGCUGGCAGAGGACAAAAAGCUCCUUCUUCAGGAGAUACAGAAAUACAAUGAUCUUGUACUAGACUCUCUGCCACAAACAUCAUUAACCUAGCUGUGGUGGAGCAUUCCCUUACUGGAGAGAGCAGUGUGUCUCAGAUAUGGCCGUGGGACGUUCAUGGCAGUGGUAUGUCACUAUUCAGCCAAGAAACGAUUGCAUGACCAAGUGAUGUUGACAAUGCGACUGCAAGAGGAAAGGGGCAUUGUGGUGUUGCAGAUGGCACAACACUGCACGUAGUUGCAGAGGCUGGCAGUGGCUCUCAAGAACAAGAUGGCUGAGGAGGACAAGGGAAAUUAAGGACUUUGCUGUCUCUUAAGAAGAAGACUGUCAGUGGUGUCAGAAGGGUUACAAGUCGUCCUUCAACAAUACAAGACUGCAUUAGGUCUUGAGGCCUCUGUCCUUCUACAUGUUGAAGAAGAAGAUCAAAGUGACCUCAGCAGUCCAGAUACCAGCGAGGAUGAAGAGGAAAACUUAAUUUAGAUAGAAACUGCACAAAGGACUGCGUUUAAGGAAAUGGACUUGGCAUAUAUCUGUUUAGUGUUUGUAUGCUGCUUACUACAUUAAAAUCUGUAUGCAUCCUAUAUUGUUGAAAUGUUCAACCUGUGUCUAGAUUAUCAAGCAUGUUAUUUAGCACGUUGAUGCUCCUUAAAUAUGCACAAACAUCUCAAUAUAGGUGUAACAAUCGUAUGAUAUUAUCAGAUGUAAUAAUUGAACUGAUGUUAUAUUUGGCUAGUGUAUUCAUAAUUUAAAGUUGCUAAUGGGCAUUGUUAGCCACAUCACAAACUCACUGUUAAAACACUGCUUAUUGUGCCUUAUUGUGUUUAUGUACUUGCAUUGGUGCAGUAAUAUUGAUGUUAUGCAGUAAGGUCAUUGGUGUGUUUUACAAUGGCUUUGAACAAAGCUCAACCAAUCAGAAUAAUCAUUGAUAAUAAAGUAAAAGUUUUAUAACGGGUAAGUUGAUAUGAAAUAUUGUAAGCACAUUCAUCAGGAUGACUUUGCUGACCUUUUGACCUUUAUUACCACAUUUAGGCAGAAAUGUGAAAACUCUACUACUUGAUUGAGUGUAUUAUAGGAUUGUGCACCAUUGAAGAUAAACAUCAUAAAUUCUUUCUUAAAGAUGGAUAAUUUGUUGGCAAUGUGUCUGACACUAUCAGUUCUGUUCUUAUAAGCACAUUAUACAUUAAACACUAUAGUAUGCAAAAGAAAAAUACACUUUUAUAUGUUAUGAUUAUACUUAUAUUGUAUAUUACUACAUUUGAUAAAUAACUUUAUUCCCUGUUCUGCUGGUGGUUUUCAAGUGAACUUCAAAGUCUAGUGUUAUUAAAUUCAGCCUUAUGGCUUGAUUGACAAAUUUGCAUUUCAUGUAUUUUCACUGCUUUUAUUGUGAAAGACAAAAAAUAAAGUGUUUCUAAACAUGA